rnacentral:misc_RNA from 1 species
GCUAUUUAGUCAAAUUGAAUAUUUGUCAUGCACUCUUUACUAACACCCAAUAUCAACACUAUUUGAUUCUCAUUGAUUAAAAUAAAAUUAUAGAAAACUUGAUUAACGUAAUACAAUUGAAUUUUCAACGAUAACUAUAAAUAAAUUAAAAAAUCAUAAAAUAAAGUUUAAAAUUAAAAAAAUUGUAAAGAUUUUUAAAAAUUUUAGCUAAUUUUACAAAAAGGUUUAAUAAAUAAAUAUGUCCGAGGCUGGCAUUCCAGAGAUAACUGCAUUGUUCCCUUCUUUUCUU